CAGCAGUGGGGAAUAUUGCACAAUGGGGGAAACCCUGAUGCAGCCAUGCCGCGUGUGUGAAGAAGGCCUUCGGGUUGUAAAGCACUUUCAGCGAGGAGGAAAGGUUGGUAGCUAAUAACUGCCAACUGUGACGUUACUCGCAGAAGAAGCACCGGCUAACUCCGUGCCAGCAGCCGCGGUAAUACGGAGGGUGCAAGCGUUAAUCGGAAUUACUGGGCGUAAAGCGCACGCAGGCGGUUGGAUAAGUUAGAUGUGAAAGCCCCGGGCUCAACCUGGGAAUUGCAUUUAAAACUGUCCAGCUAGAGUCUUGUAGAGGGGGGUAGAAUUCCAGGUGUAGCGGUGAAAUGCGUAGAGAUCUGGAGGAAUACCGGUGGCGAAGGCGGCCCCCUGGACAAAGACUGACGCUCAGGUGCGAAAGCGUGGGGAGCAAACAGGAUUAGA
rnacentral:rRNA from 1 species